CUUGCACAGAAAAUUAAAACUCGUAGCAUAUUCCCUCAGUAACACGUGGCCAAACUACCCUACAGACCGCGAUAACCUCGGGAAACUGAGGCCACCUAGCGGAUAUAACUCUCAUGCUGGAGUGCCGAGAGUUAGAAACGUUCCGGCGCUGUAGGAUGUGGCUGCGGCCGAUUAGGUAGAUGGUGGGGUAACGGCCCACCAUGCCGAUAAUCGGUACAGGUUGUGAGAGCAAGAGCCUUNCCACGGUAUCUGAGACAAGAUACCGGGCCCUACGGGGCGCAGCAGGCGCGAAACCUUUACACUGCACGACAGUGCGAUAGGGGGACUCCGAGUGUGAGGGCAUAUAGCCCUCGCUUUUCUGAACCGUAAGGUGGUUCAGGAACAAGGACUGGGCAAGACCGGUGCCAGCCGCCGCGGUAAUACCGGCAGUCCAAGUGAUGGCCGAUAUUAUUGGGCCUAAAGCGUCCGUAGCUUGCUGUGUAAGUC
rnacentral:rRNA from 1 species